UACAUUUUAAGUCGUGGAUGGUCCUAAGU
rnacentral:piRNA from 1 species